rnacentral:rRNA from 1 species
AUUGAACGCUGGCGGCAGGCCUAACACAUGCAAGUCGAGCGGAUGAAGGGAGCUUGCUCCUGGAUUCAGCGGCGGACGGGUGAGUAAUGCCUAGGAAUCUGCCUGGUAGUGGGGGAUAACGUCCGGAAACGGGCGCUAAUACCGCAUACGUCCUGAGGGAGAAAGUGGGGGAUCUUCGGACCUCACGCUAUCAGAUGAGCCUAGGUCGGAUUAGCUAGUUGGGGGGGUAAAGGCCUACCAAGGCGACGAUCCGAAACUGGUCUGAGAGGAUGAUCAGUCACACUGGAACUGAGACACGGUCCAGACUCCUACGGGAGGCAGCAGUGGGGAAUAUUGGACAAUGGGCGAAAGCCUGAUCCAGCCAUGCCGCGUGUGUGAAGAAGGUCUUCGGAUUGUAAAGCACUUUAAGUUGGGAGGAAGGGCAGUAAGUUAAUACCUUGCUGUUUUGACGUUACCAACAGAAUAAGCACCGGCUAACUUCGUG